CCUACGGGAGGCAGCAGUGGGGAAUAUUGGACAAUGGGCGAAAGCCUGAUCCAGCAAUGCCGCGUGAGUGAUGAAGGCCUUCGGGUCGUAAAGCUCUUUUACCAGGGAUGAUAAUGACAGUACCUGGAGAAUAAGCUCCGGCUAACUCCGUGCCAGCAGCCGCGGUAAUACGGAGGGAGCUAGCGUUGUUCGGAAUUACUGGGCGUAAAGAGUACGUAGGCGGUUAUUCAAGUCAGAGGUGAAAGCCCGGGGCUCAACCCCGGAACUGCCUUUGAAACUAGAUAACUAGAGUCUUGGAGAGGUUAGUGGAAUUCCGAGUGUAGAGGUGAAAUUCGUAGAUAUUCGGAAGAACACCAGUGGCGAAGGCGACUAACUGGACAAGUACUGACGCUGAGGUACGAAAGCGUGGGGAGCAAACAGGAUUAGAUACCCUGGUAGUCCACGCCGUAAACGAUGAUAAACUAGUUGUUCGGUCACUUGGUGACUGAGUGACGCAGCUAACGCAUUAAGUUAUCCGCCUGGGGAGUACGGUCGCAAGAUUAAAAACUCAAAAGANAGUGACGNGUGAGAGNGACGAGACGACAGAGGAGNG
rnacentral:rRNA from 1 species